GAUGAACGCUGGCGGCGUGCCUAAUACAUGCAAGUCGAGCGAACAGACGAGGAGCUUGCUCCUCUGACGUUAGCGGCGGACGGGUGAGUAACACGUGGAUAACCUACCUAUAAGACUGGGAUAACUUCGGGAAACCGGAGCUAAUACCGGAUAAUAUAUUGAACCGCAUGGUUCAAUAGUGAAAGACGGUUUUGCUGUCACUUAUAGAUGGAUCCGCGCCGCAUUAGGUAGUUGGUAAGGUAACGGCUUACCAAGGCGACGAUGCGUAGCCGACCUGAGAGGGUGAUCGGCCACACUGGAACUGAGACACGGUCCAGACUCCUACGGGAGGCAGCAGUAGGGAAUCUUCCGCAAUGGGCGAAAGCCUGACGGAGCAACGCCGCGUGAGUGAUGAAGGUCUUCGGAUCGUAAAACUCUGUUAUAAGGGAAGAACAAAUGUGUAAGUAACUAUGCACGUCUUGACGGUACCUAAUCAGAAAGCAACGGCUAACUACGUG
rnacentral:rRNA from 1 species